GCGGCGGUGCAGGGGAAGGGGAAGAAGUCCGCUCGGGGCGGAUCUUCCUCGAGGACUGCUCUGCCCAAGGAUUGGAUCCAGGGCGACUGGAUGCCGUCGGUGAUUCGGCAGGAUGAUCUCGAUGAUCUGGUCGAGGAGGGAUUCAUUCCCCACGAAUCUGCGCGUCUCCUGGGGAAAGAAGUCGAACCCCAGCCUCUUGAUGGUGAGUGCGUACUCCUCGCCACCCAUAUCGAUCGUGGAUUCUCUCUGCCUCCUCAUCCUUUUUUCCGGAGCUUCUUGAACUUCUUCGGAGCGCAUCUCCAUCACUUUACUCCUAAUUCUAUUGUGUAUCUUGCUGCUUUCGUUUCCUUGUGUGAAAACUUCUUGGGUUGCCGCCCCCAUUGGGGACUCUUCAAGCACAUCUUCACUUUCCGCUCUCAGUCGGUCAAGAAGGCCAAGUCGAGUGAUGAAUGGACGCAGGUGAUCCAGCUGUGCGGGGGCCUGGCGAUCCAGAUGAGGGGAAAAAGUUCCUUUCCGUCUAUCACUUUUCCCGAGUCAGUCCGUGGGUGGCAGUCGACUUGGUUUUACUGUAAAGACUAG
rnacentral:rRNA from 1 species